AUUGAACGCUGGCGGCAGGCCUAACACAUGCAAGUCGAACGGUAGCACAGAGAGCUUGCUCUCGGGUGACGAGUGGCGGACGGGUGAGUAAUGUCUGGGAAACUGCCUGAUGGAGGGGGAUAACUACUGGAAACGGUAGCUAAUACCGCAUAACGUCGCAAGACCAAAGAGGGGGACCUUCGGGCCUCUUGCCAUCCGAUUUGCCCAGAUGGGAUUAGCUAGUAGGGGGGGUAACGGCUCACCUAGGCGACGAUCCCUAGCUGGUCUGAGAGGAUGACCAGCCACACUGGAACUGAGACACGGUCCAGACUCCUACGGGAGGCAGCAGUGGGGAAUAUUGCACAAUGGGCGCAAGCCUGAUGCAGCCAUGCCGCGUGUAUGAAGAAGGCCUUCGGGUUGUAAAGUACUUUCAGCGGGGAGGAAGGUGUUGUGGUUAAUAACCACAGCAAUUGACGUUACCCGCAGAAGAAGCACCGGCUAACUCCGUGCCAGCCGCCGCGGUAA
rnacentral:rRNA from 1 species